rnacentral:lncRNA from 1 species
GUACUCCCCCAUCGAUCACGGGCAUCUAUAUUCGCCUUACACCUCAACAAAAGCAAGACAACAUCCACAUGCCCUUCACAAGCAGCCACAUGCAAAGCAGUCCUCCCAUCAAGAUCAAUACUAUUCACAUCCACCCCAUCAUCCAACAACUCUUUAACCCCUUGAACAUCACCUUUACACGCCACAAACAGCAACUGCAUAGUCGAAUCUAAAUUCCCAGGAACCGCAGCAAGUUCAUCAUCAUCUUUAUUAACAGGUCCCCGUUGAAUCGGGUCCAAAGAUGACUGCCGCCCGAACCCGAACCGCCCGUUGUUGUUGUUGUUGGAUCGUGGAUCUAACGAGUUCUGUCGCCUGAAACUUAACUUUGAAGUUAGUUGCUUCACUGAAUUUGUUGAUAAUUGGCGGGAAAUCCCUCGUUUUAGUUGUGUUGCUCUGUCCAUGAUGGGUUUUGGUGCUGUGGGUUGAUUAAAUUAUGUGAAUUUGGAACAUGAUUUGGUGGAAUUCAAGUGGGGAAUUAGGGUUUGGGAAAAAGGGAUGAAUGAUUGAUGGAAUUUUGAUAGAAAUAUCUUUGAAGGUGUGGAAAAUGAUAUGGGGUUGGGGUUGAAACAAAGUUUGUUAAAUGUUAUGAUUUGGUUGUUUGUCAAUGGGAUUAUAUUAUCCGGGAAAUCCGGUGGAGACUGGAGGAGAGUGUUUGUGUUUUACACCCGGGACUGUUGACCAAAUCAAACCCAAUAUAUAUAAAAACAGGUAUAACUUGUAGGUUUAUAAUUCUCUCAUUUGAAACCGGUUAAACCCGAAACAAACCGGAUAAAACUGGUCAAAACCGGUUAACAUACCGGCAACACUUGAAUCGGUGUGAAAUUCAACUUAGCUUUGAAUUUUUGUUGAUCAAUCCGAAUCGGUUUAGUGUUUGAACACGAUGUGUGCGCCUCUACUUUCAAUUGUUAAGUGGGUGUUUUGUUUUGACGAUUCUGGUUUAGUGGGUGUGUAGAUUUGACUAUUCCAGUUAAACGGGUAUUUAGUUUUGACGAGUCCAUUUAAAAGGACGUUUAGUAGUUUCAGACCGUUACAAUUAUGCAGGUUCCAGCCAAUUUAUAAUCCUCUCCUUUAGUACUGGCUAAACCCGAACCAAACUGGAUAAAAGCUGGUCAAAACUGCUCAAAACCGGUAAGUAUACCAAAAAAAAACCAGAACCGGUGUGAAGCUCAACCAGGCUUUGACCUUUUGUUGACCAGUUCGAACCAGUGUGAAACUCAACCUGGCUUUGACUUUUUGUUAACCAAUCCGAACCGGUUUAGGAUUUGAACCCGCUUUCGACACCUCUACUUUCAACUGUUAAAUGGGUGUUUAGUUUUCACGGUUAUAGUUUCUAGUUAAGUGGGUGUGUAGAUUUGAACAUUCUACUUAAACAUGCAUUUAGUUUUGACGAAUCCAGUUAAAAGGGUCCUUUAGUAUUGAUGAUUUCAUAAAAACGAAUGUUUAACUCUUAAUAUUCCCUUUUUAAACGUCGUAUAACACCAAUUCAAAGUGGUGUGUAUAGCCGUUUGCAAAUAUUGAUGUGAUAUGCGUAUUAUUAUUUUUUUUCUUUAUUUGAAAAUGUGGAAAAAUCCAAUUAUUAGGUGA